rnacentral:lncRNA from 1 species
GGGCCAUCCAUGUGCACCCUCUUGGGGCCUUGACUUGGCAUGGGAGACAUUCAGCCGCCCAGACUAUGGAGAGGAACUUCCGGAAACUGCCCAAGGGUUUGUGAAGGGAUGUGGAAGCUGCCCAUGGUGGGGCCUGGCUCUCCCCAGAUCUGUUGGGGACAUUUGUCACGGAGCCGUCGUGGCUGCAGAGGAGCCAGGCCGGAGCACACAUGCUUGUCCUGGCAGAGAGCAGAGAAUCCUCCAGGCUGUCGGGGGGCAAGCGGACCGUGA